rnacentral:rRNA from 1 species
UUCCGGUUGAUCCCGCCGGACCCGACUGCUAUUUGGGUGAGAAUAAGCCAUGCGAGUUGAAUGGGAUACCUAAAGUUCCCAUAGCAAACUGCUCAGUAACACAUGAUCAACUUACCCUAUAGAGAGAAAUAACCUCGGGAAACUGAGGAUAAUGUUUCAUAAUUGAAUUGGCUUGGAAAAGUUUUUCAAUGAAAAGGAUAAAAAAAAUGGUUUUUAUCUGCUAUAGGAUAGGAUCGUGUUCGAUUAUGGUUGUUGGUGAGAUAAUGGCUCACCAAGCCGAUAAUCGAUAGGGGCCGUGAGAGCGGGAGCCCCGAGAUGGGUACUGAGACAACGACCCAGGCCUUACGAGGCGCAGCAGGCGCGGAACCUCCGCAAUACACGAAAGUGUGACGGGGUUACCCAAAGUGUUCAAUUGAACUGUGGUAGGUGAGUAAUGUCCCCUACUAGAAAGGAGAGGGCAAGGCUGGUGCCAGCCGCCGCGGUAAAACCAGCUCUUCAAGUGGUCGGGAUAAUUAUUGGGCUUAAAGUGUCCGUAGCCGGUUUAGUAAGUUCCUGGUAAAAUCGGGUAGCUUAACUAUCUGCAUGCUAGGAAUACUGCUAUACUAGAGGGCGGGAGAGGUCUGAGGUACUACAGGGGUAGGGGUGAAAUCUUAUAAUCCUUGUAGGACCACCAGUGGCGAAGGCGUCAGACUGGAACGCGCCUGACGGUGAGGGACGAAAGCCAGGGGAGCGAACCGGAUUAGAUACCCGGGUAGUCCUGGCCGUAAACGAUGCAUACUAUGUGAUGGUACGGCCAUGAGCCGUAUCAGUGCCGUAGGGAAACCGUUAAGUGUGCCGCCUGGGAAGUACGGUCGCAAGGCUAAAACUUAAAGGAAUUGGCGGGGGAGCGCCACAAGGGGUGAAGCCUGCGGUUCAAUUGGAUUCAACGCCGG